rnacentral:rRNA from 1 species
GCCACGCCCGACUCAAAACUCAGGAAUUGACGGGGGCCCGGCACAAGCGGUGGAGUAUGUGGUUUAAUUCGAUGCAACGCGAGAACUACCUGGUCUUGACAUCCCGGAGACCCUUAGGAAACUAGGGGGUGCUUCCAUCUGGAAGAAUCUGGAGACAGGUGCUGCAUGGCUGUCGUCAGCUCGUGUCGUGAGAUGUUGGGUUAAGUCCCGCAACGAGCGCAACCCUUGCCUUUAGUUGCCAGCAGUUCGGCUGGGCACUCUAAAGGGACUGCCGGUGUUAAACCGGAGGAAGGUGGGGAUGACGUCAAGUCCUCAUGGCCUUUAUGACCAGGGCUACACACGUACUACAAUGGCCGAUACAAAGGGCAGCGACACUGCGAGGUGAAGCCAAUCCCGUAAAAUCGGUCUCAGUCCGGAUUGGAGUCUGCAACUCGACUCCAUGAAGUUGGAAUCGCUAGUAAUCGUGGAUCAGCAUGCCACGGUGAAUACGUUCCCGGGCCUU